UACAGGGGGUGCAAACGUUGCUCGGAAUCAUUGGGCGUAAAGCGCACGUAGGCGGUCUGUUAUGUCGGAUGUGAAAGCUUUUGGCUUAACUGAGGAAGUGCAUCCGAAACUGGCAGGCUAGAGUACUAAAGAGGGUCGCGGAAUUCCCGGUGUAGAGGUGAAAUUCGUAGAUAUCGGGAGGAACACCGGUGGCGAAGGCGGCGACCUGGGUAGAUACUGACGCUGAGGUGCGAAAGCGUGGGGAGCAAACAGG
rnacentral:rRNA from 1 species